AUUGAACGCUGGCGGCAGGCCUAACACAUGCAAGUCGGACGGUAGCACAGAGGAGCUUGCUCCUCGGGUGACGAGUGGCGGACGGGUGAGUAAUGUCUGGGGAUCUGCCCGAUAGAGGGGGAUAACCACUGGAAACGGUGGCUAAUACCGCAUAACGUCGCAAGACCAAAGAGGGGGACCUUCGGGCCCCUCACUAUCGGAUGAACCCAGAUGGGAUUAGCUAGUAGGCGGGGUAACGGCCCACCUAGGCGACGAUCCCUAGCUGGUCUGAGAGGAUGACCAGCCACACUGGAACUGAGACACGGUCCAGACUCCUACGGGAGGCAGCAGUGGGGAAUAUUGCACAAUGGGCGCAAGCCUGAUGCAGCCAUGCCGCGUGUAUGAAGAAGGCCUUCGGGUUGCAAAGUACUUUCAGCGGGGAGGAAGGCGAUGUGGUUAAUAACCGCAUUGAUUGACGUUACCCGCAGAAGAAGCACCGGCUAACUCCGUGCCAGCAGCCGCGGUAA
rnacentral:rRNA from 1 species